CCCCCCCGGGCGCCCGGUGAAGCCGGGUCUCUCGAGGCCCCAGCCGGGCUUCGUCGUCCUCCGGGGCCGGCUCGGCGUCGCCUCGGCUGCCCCCGGGGCUCGGCAGCGGCUGGAAGACGUUUAGGCCAAAGUCGGGGAGCUGCAGGCCCCGUCCGACUUCCGCUUCUCGGGUCUCAGGGGGCGUUGUAGCCUUCGUGGCCCUGCUCAGUCGUGUCCCCCAAAAUUUUCCCUGAGGUGGAAGAGAUGAGCGCAAGAAAGUUUGAAGCCAUUGAAGAUUUUCCGCUUUUCUUUGCAUAGGAGAGCCGAUCUUUCACAUAUAGUCUUCAUCUGUCAGAGCUUAGAAGAAGGUGAAAAGGCAACCAAAUUGGGAGACACUGCUCUGGAAUAAUGAGUCGGAGCAGUACUGCUGCACACUGGAAUCACAUUCUAGAAAAGCAGACACGAUUUGCUAGAACAGUUUUGUAACAGAGUCACUCCCAAGGUACGGAGGAAUGCUGAAGGUCAUUGGGAGCAGCACAUAGCACAUUUUCCUUUCCUGAGGAAAGCUGUUAAGAAGGAGCAAGAUUUGAAAGGUACAUCCUAAACCUUCUCUACACCAAGGAUAGGCAGUGAGCUAGAAAAGUUCAUGGCCAGUGUAAGAACAGGUGUAAUUUUACCCUCAGUCUGCACCAAGGCCAUUAUUAAAAAAACUGAAUUAGUUGUUCCUGAUUGGCUCCCUGAAUGCCCUUAACAGCACCACUGAACAAAUGUAUGUUUAACUGUGUGUGAAGCUGGUGUCGGUUUGCAGAUGUCAACCAUGCUGCUGUGAAUUUACAUCCAUCCCACUGUUAAGAGCAGAGAGCUAAUCUCACACAUAUUCCAGAUGAUCUUGUUGUCAUAUCGUACAUUCAACUGUUAAAAGGAGAAGCAAACCAAAGGAUUGACUCUUCAGACAACAGGUUCAUGAUUUAUCCCUGGAAAUUUUCCUAUACUCCAGUAUUCUCCUCUCUAAACUCCUUUGAGUGGCUAGCCAUCCAGGCUGAAUUCAAUUUUACCAGUGUUUUUGCAUGAUUCAGUUCUUUGUCGCACAAAUCAGCUUUGGGCUGCUUCGGUCUGAGAUAAAUAGCAGUGAGAGCUUUCUCUGCAGAUGUGGUGUGUCUCGUAACAGGUUGUCGUGGCUUGCCUACCUUUGUCCUUUUCACAUCUCAUUCUCUAUUUCCUGGGACAUCCUGGUGCACCAGGGAUAUUCUCAGCAGAAGUACGGAUCACCAAACACGCAUGCUUGCCUUUCAUUGCCAACCUCCACGAGAAUGGAUUUUCAGCACAGCACCAGUCUUUUUGUGAAAUGUGAUGUUCUGGGCCUUUUAGUUAUUUGACAAAUUCGGUACUGUCAGUUUUGUUUCUUAAAGAAACUCAGUAGUAACCUAGAGAUGCCCAAGUUUGAUGUUUUCAUUGUAAUUGUCAAGUGCUGAUGGAUAAAUUUGUUUUGUUCAGACACAAGUUUUUUGUUUAUUUGUUUGUUUUUGAAUAAAAUGUAAUUAUAGUCAGGGGAACACUUUCAGCUAAGUUUGGGUGACUUUUGAAGCUGGUCAUUGUGGUAUUUCAGGCACUGAAGGAUCUCAGGGUGUGGUUGAGCCCUGCCUUCUCUUCUGUGUGUGAAGCUUUAGGUGUUAUUUGAUUGAGAAAUACCUGAAAUGUCCUGUUGUUCUGUG